GGGCAUUUAGAUACAGAUUCUAAAUGCCUUGCUUUCUAGUAUGACUUUAUUUUAUUUAUAUUCCUAUUUGUAAUGCUGAAUAAUACAAGUGAUGUAAACUGUAGAUUCCUGAACGUGCAGUGCAAGCAGUGUCCCUCACUUUCAGGCCACAGGCUUGAUGCACCAGCACGGCACUUACCCCGAGUCUAAUUUGCAACACAAUUAAACUUGUGAAAUAUUUUAAUAAACAUUUUAACUGUAUUCAACAGUGAUAACCAGAUAAUUUGCCCCUCUUAUUCAAACCACCUUAUGAUUUCUUCAAAAGAUAGACAGGAACAUGGGCAGGAUGUUUAUACAGCAAAAUGUAAACAUUUUCCCUGGCUUCUUUAAAUAAAAAAUCAAGCAAAAGCCCCGUUAGACCAGUUAAUACUCAAUCGGAUGCAAUAUGCCCUUCUCUUCGCUGCGUCUUGUGUGAUGUUGGACUUUUUUGCAUAUGAAUAUUGUUUGUGUAAUGCAGUCAUAAUAUUUACGCAGGGACGCAGGAGGAGUAGAGACCAAACUGUGCCGAACUGUGAGCACAGAAAGUCGGACCGGGAUCUGAGAUCGACUCCUGCUGCAGUUUACCAUCGAAUGAUCUAGGAUUCAAGUCUGGAGUGGGCAGGCAUGCGGCUUUGGCCACAGGAAGCAGUGAAUUCUUGGGAGAAUGGAAGAUGUCUUAUGGGGAGACAUACUGGCCUCCCCACCCACUCACCACCCCAAAAUGACACCUGACCCCUUCGUGUGUUUAUAUCAGACCAUGGAAGUGAGAAAUAGUGAUGAGUCACUCUGGCUGUGUGUUUACACUCCGGAGUCACGCAAGGAAGGAAAUCAGCCACGGUCUGCUAAAAGUGGCGAGGUGAGAGAGAAUGGCUGCAGUCCCCCAGCGCUGCAGUGAUUUACCUCCAGCCAACAUUUAUUUCAUGUCAUCUCUGCUGCGAAGACUUAAGACCAACAGAAAACAGCAGCAUUAGCAGAGAAGUGGACUGUAGUCUAGGAAAGGUAACUUUAAAUGUUUAAGUUUUCAUUAAGAAUGAUACUUUAGACGUUUAAUCCUCAUUAGAUACACUCUGUUGAUCACAUCCAGUUGCUUUCUAAUCAAGGCAGGUGAAACACAGAUCACUGUGUGGAUUUGAAUGAAAACAUGCAUCUCAACACAAAAACUAAUUUCAGCGUGAUGACGAUUCAUUUCCCUUUGUAAUGUAUUUUGUCAUUUUCACAGAAACCUUCUCAGCAACAAGGACAUCUGAGUAAUUGCUCAAUUUAAUUUCCUACCGACUGAUUACACGUUUUAAACCAACAGCAACGAUAUGAACUUAUUCAAAUGUUUGUUUUAUUAUUAUUGAUAUACUAUAUUAAUAUCACAAUUAAUGUAUAGAUGUUUAUUUUAUGACAUUAUUUAAAUGACUAUGCCUGCCACAUUUCAAAUAACUAGUUAUGGUUUCCUGCAAACAAUAAAAAAAUCAAUUGAUUAAAAAAAGUGUUCAAAGAUUUAAUGGCCCUUACUAAUUACCUUUCGAAGAAAUUAUUAUGCAGCGCUUAUUAUCUUAAUUGAUACUUAAAUACUAUUUGUUUGUCCCAGGUAUACAAGGUUACACCAAAUGUUAUAUACUUAUUCUAACUUGGAUGAAAUAAAAUGUUGAUUAUAUUAAAGCUAGCAAUAGUCACACCUAAUCAUUUCAGGGAAAUAUGUUGCUUUACAAUGUAAUAAUAUACUUGCAUAAAUGCAUUACUUUUUUUGGAAAUCCUAAAAUAAAAAUUACUUUGUAAAUGUUUAAAAUAUAAUAAAACAGAAAAUGUAGGUUUCAGAACAAGAUCACAAAUUAGUAUCUUUGUUUUGCACAUCAUCCAAAAGCCUGUGCAUCAGUUUAUAUUGACAAUAACACAUGGGCAUUUCCGGUUACUGUCCACUUUAUGGACUCAAAAAUAGAAUAUUAUAAUGAGAAUGUUAGCAUGGUAUUAUAAAAUGUGUUUUUGAGACAUGAAUCAGUGAUCAUACUGGCCACGUACUGCUGUAUGCUUUGAAAUGUAAGGAGUGUUUACUCUGGCUACCACCAGUAUUUUAUACGUAUUGUCAUUGUUGUCUUCCGCACUGAGCGACUUUACACCUUAGAUUGCAUAACUGUUGUUUUGAAGAGACAGCUAGAGUUACUGCAUUUGGGCUCUGAAAAGUGACACUUUAUUUCUUUAUAUCAUCACAUUGGUGCAAGUAACUUCAUUGCAGACUGUAGCGCGUAUCCUGUUACACUCCCCCAUACGCACCGCCACAAUGAGAGAGUCAGCAGCUUUUAUUUUGGCUCAUCUCUUGUGAAUUGUAAGUCCUGUCAGAGGCUUUGAUUGAUAGUUGUGUUUAUCACCAUAUUAUUAAGUAAUCAGGCUCCACCACAGCUAGGCCCAGAGCUCCUUAAUUUCAGCUAAAGCACACUGCUUCAUGCUAAUUAAAGGUUUGGCAAAAGUGUUUAUUUUUGUGAAUAAAGAAAAACAUAUAUAUAUAGUUUUUCCGUGUUUUAUGCAAGUGUGCUGAUUGUUGCAUUUGUUUCCUCCCUGGAAAAUAUUGUACCAGACUUCAGUAUUGUUAUCUGCACCAGAAACAUGGUUAUUUAAGGUCAGUGAAGAGAAGACAAUGCUGCAUAGACUGCAUGUACAGUGUGAGAAUCUUACAUUAUAUACUGUUAUUAUUACUGUGAAACCUGCAAAAUGUCAAAUAAGGUACCUACAGUACAGUACGUCCAUGUAUACCAUAAGGGGGUCAAUCAGUCUGUAUUGUGUAUCAGCAGAGGUUCUUCUCGCUUCGUUAAUAGAGCCCGCUGCAGGCUGCGUUUGUGUAUUCCUGAGGUAAACACAGUCAUGGCAAAGUGGACAUGCUGCUGAGUGUGUCCUGACUGGAGACAGAGAGCACUGUGGCACUGACGGAGACACUGGCAGCUCUCUAGAGGCAGGGUUAAUGUGAUGAAUGGCCAUUUGGUAAUGGGCCAUGUAUUAGGGUGAAAUUGCUCUUUUAAAAGCCUGGGCUCGAGCCGCUGCUAUGGGCAGUUUGAUUCACCAAUCAAUCAGGUGGCAGAUGUUUCAUGUUGGAUCAGUCAGCUCUGUCUCGCUCACUCUUACACACAAAUUAAGGAGGAAUUGCUUGAAUGACUGCACGUAGCAAAUGAAAGCGUAAAUUCACCUGGGGAGACAUUUGUGCAAAGUGUACAGAUUUUUAUAUCCCAUGCAAAUAUUUAUAUGUAACUGAAGAUGUUGAGAGAAUGUACAUUUGAAUUGAAUAAGUUAGGAUGAUGUGAUUAUGAAGUUUUUUCUGUGCAAUAAGGAAACCCAUAUUGCCCAAUACUGUCACACAUUAUCCUUGUAACUUGUCAAAUGUGCAUUAAUACUACCAUUUUUUAUUUAUAAUGUAUGUUACAUUAUUUUUGUGUCAACACAGUGCUUUAGUGUUUUGGACAUAAUAUCUUGAAUCUGUAUUUGUUUUAUAUUUUCAUUACGGUAAUACAAAUUCAGGUUGAAAUUGACGGGGGUGCCUGUUAAUAUUUGAUCUGGUUUUCCAUUGAUCAGGAUAAACUGCUUUACUGUAUACUUGCUAUGUUUUUCCACACACGCGCAAUGUUGUAAAUCACAGGAUACUGAUUUUAAAUUGUAUUAUGUUAACAUGUCUUCCUUUGAAUAAAGUCUGUACGUUGAAAUGAA